AUUUCCUUUCUCUAAAAUUGAUGAAGAAAAUAUUAGAAAGAACGUAAAAGUUUCUUCUUCUCCAUUCCAAGUUGAAGAAGAUCAAUCAGGGAAAUAUGGAAGAUUGAAGCUGUAAGAUUUUCCAAGAAAAGGAACAAAGGAACAAAGACACAUUUGCAAAACAGAAAGCUCUUUUUCUUACAAUUCUAUCUUUGGAAACUUCCUGUGACAUCUCCAAAGACAUGUUGAAUGGCACUAUAAGAAAAAUACAAAGAAUCUCACAUCAAGGAAAGACAUGGAACAUCACAUCUUGUUUUGGAUGUGUAGUGUAUACAUAUAUUCUUUAUCAAAGGGUUGAAGUCAUUAUAUUUGCUUUCUUAUAAAAAAAUAAAAAUUAAGAAUAUAAACUGUGUGACACUAGUUCUCAGUCUUCUGCAUCAUUGAUGCAUAAUGCAGAGUAAAGAGAUGCUUUAGUAUUCAUAAACAAUUGCAAAGAGCAGCUUCAAUAUGUGAAGUUUUCUGAAAAUAUGAAAGUACAAAAGUUAUUAACAUUAGCAUUACAAACAAACAUGAA